rnacentral:rRNA from 1 species
UACGGAGGGGGCAAGCGUUGUUCGGAAUUACUGGGCGUAAAGCGCGUGUAGGCGGUCCGGUAAGUCCGCUGUGAAAGUCGGGGGCUCAACCCUCGGAUGCCGGUGGAUACUGUCGGGCUUGAGUACGGAAGAGGCGAGUGGAAUUCCUGGUGUAGCGGUGAAAUUCGUAGAUAUCAAGCGGAACACCGGUGGCGAAGACGGCCUUCUGGACAGUGACUGACGCUGAAACACGAAAGCGUGGGUAGCAAACAGG